rnacentral:rRNA from 1 species
GACGAACCAUGCAAACGUUAUUCGGAAUUACUGGGCUUAAAGCGUGCGCAGGCGGUUAUGUAAGACAGGUGUGAAAUCCCCGGGCUUAACCUGGGAACUGCAUUUGUGACUGCAUAGCUAGAGUACGGUAGAGGGGGAUGGAAUUCCGCGUGUAGCAGUGAAAUUCGUAGAUAUCGGGAGGAACACCAGUGGCGAAGGCGGCGACCUGGACAGAUAUUGACGCUGAGGUGCGAAAGCGUGGGGAGCAAACAGG